CCUACGGGAGGCUGCAGUGGGGAAUAUUGCACAAUGGGGGAAACCCUGAUGCAGCGACGCCGCGUGAGUGAAGAAGUAUCUCGGUAUGUAAAGCUCUAUCAGCAGGGAAGAAAAUGACGGUACCUGACUAAGAAGCCCCGGCUAACUACGUGCCAGCAGCCGCAGUACUACGUAGGGGGCAAGCGUUAUCCGGAUUUACUGGGUGUAAAGGGGGCGCAGACGGCGAUGCAAGCCAGGAGUGAAAGUCCUGGGGCCAACCCCGGGACUGCUGUUGGAACUGCGUGGCUAGAGUGCAGGAGGGGCAGGCGGAAUUCCUGGUGUAGCGGUGAAAUGCGUAGAUAUCAGGAGGAACACCGGUGGCGAAGGCGGCAUGCUGGACUGGAACUGACGUUGAGGCCCGAAAGCGUGGGGAGCAAACAGGAUUAGAUACCCUUGUAGUC
rnacentral:rRNA from 1 species